UACGGGGGGGGUAAGCGUUGUUCGGAAUUACUGGGCGUAAAGGGCUCGUAGGCGGCCAACUAAGUCAUACGUGAAAUCCCUCAGCUUAACUGGGGAACUGCGUGUGAUACUGGAUGGCUUGGAUUUGGGAGAGGGAUGCGGAAUUCCAGGUGUAGCGGUGAAAUGCGUAGAUAUCUGGAGGAACACCAAUGGCGAAGGCAGCCCCCUGGGUCGAUACUGACGCUCAUGCACGAAAGCGUGGGUAGCAAACAGG
rnacentral:rRNA from 1 species